rnacentral:rRNA from 1 species
UUGGAUAACCGUGGUAAUUCUAGAGCUAAUACAUGCUGAAAACCCCGACUUCGGAAGGGGUGUAUUUAUUAGAUAAAAAACCAACGCCCUUCGGGGCUUCUUGGUGAUUCAUAAUAACUUUACGGAUCGCAUGGCCUUGCGCCGGCGACGGUUCAUUCAAAUUUCUGCCCUAUCAACUUUCGAUGGUAAGGUAUUGGCUUACCAUGGUUUCAACGGGUAACGGGGAAUUAGGGUUCGAUUCCGGAGAGGGAGCCUGAGAAACGGCUACCACAUCCAAGGAAGGCAGCAGGCGCGCAAAUUACCCAAUCCCGACACGGGGAGGUAGUGACAAUAAAUACUGAUACAGGGCUCUUUUGGGUCUUGUAAUUGGAAUGAGUACAAUUUAAACCUCUUAACGAGGAACAAUUGGAGGGCAAGUCUGGUGCCAGCAGCCGCGGUAAUUCCAGCUCCAAUAGCGUAUAUUAAAGUUGUUGCAGUUAAAAAGCUCGUAGUUGAAACUUGGGUCUGGCUGGCAGGUCCGCCUCACCGCGUGUACUUGUCCGGCCGGGCCUUCCUUCUGGAGAACCUCAUGCCCUUCACUGGGCGUGUUGGGGACCAGGACUUUUACUUUGAAAAAAUUAGAGUGUUCAAAGCAGGCCUUUGCUCGAAUACGUUAGCAUGGAAUAAUAGAAUAGGACGUGCGUUCCUAUUUUGUUGGUUUCUAGGAACGCCGUAAUGAUUAAUAGGGACAGUCGGGGGCAUCAGUAUUCAAUUGUCAGAGGUGAAAUUCUUGGAUUUAUUGAAGACUAACUACUGCGAAAGCAUUUGCCAAGGAUGUUUUCAUUAAUCAGUGAACGAAAGUUAGGGGAUCGAAGACGAUCAGAUACCGUCGUAGUCUUAACCGUAAACUAUGCCGACUAGGGAUCGGGCGAUGUUCUUUUUCUGACUCGCUCGGCACCUUACGAGAAAUCAAA